rnacentral:rRNA from 1 species
UCUCCUGGAAAAGGGUGGUAAUGCCGGAUGCUCCAGUUGAUCGCAUGGUCUUCUGGGAAAGCUUUCGCGGUAUGGGAUGGGGUCGCGUCCUAUCAGCUUGACGGCGGGGUAACGGCCCACCGUGGCUUCGACGGGUAGCCGGCCUGAGAGGGCGACCGGCCACAUUGGGACUGAGAUACGGCCCAGACUCCUACGGGAGGCAGCAGUGGGGAAUAUUGCACAAUGGGCGCAAGCCUGAUGCAGCGACGCCGCGUGAGGGAUGGAGGCCUUCGGGUUGUAAACCUCUUUUAUCGGGGAGCAAGCGAGAGUGAGUUUACCCGUUGAAUAAGCACCGGCUAACUACGUGCCAGCAGCCGCGGUAAUACGUAGGGUGCAAGCGUUAUCCGGAAUUAUUGGGCGUAAAGGGCUCGUAGGCGGUUCGUCGCGUCCGGUGUGAAAGUCCAUCGCUUAACGGUGGAUCCGCGCCGGGUACGGGCGGGCUUGAGUGCGGUAGGGGAGACUGGAAUUCCCGGUGUAACGGUGGAAUGUGUAGAUAUCGGAAAAGAACACCAAC